rnacentral:lncRNA from 1 species
CAUUAUAUUAAAUACAGGUAAAAUUCUCAGGCGAUCUUAUUUAUAAUUUUAAAUCUAAAAUUUUGCACAGGCAAAACCGCGUGCAAUAGUAGUGACAUUAACGUAAUGUGAUGAAACUUACUUUUUACCUUAGACCCAACAGGGUAUUGAGCUGGCAACGUCCCAUAGGUUCACUUCACGACCUUGACGACGGUCAAUAGGAAGAGCGGCAACGUCGGUUGUAAUAUGUCAAAUCAUAAAUAAGGCUUCUAUCAAAUACUCAUAACAAUGGAGGUACACGAGUGUACUUUGUUUACCGUUGUUUACUUUUCUUGACGUAAGUGAAGACGCUAUUUCAAGAAAUUUGAAGUGCUAAUUCAUUAAAAUAUGUACGCUUUCAUGACUGUGCCUCAACUUAAAGUUGAGGUUCGUAAAAGAAAUGCGUCAAUUGCCGGAAAAAAAGGCUAAUUUGAUAGAAAGAUUGCAAUCUAAUGACCGGAAUAAAAAUUUUGGUGUUGACUGCGAGAUCCAAGAGGAGAUCGCAUAUCUGAGUCCAGCCACUGAUACUUUCAGAGACAUAAUUGCGGACACUUCUUUACCAAUGAUUACGAGACAAGCAAUACAGGAAUAUUUUGAAAGUUAUGUACCCAUAUGUAAUGAUUAUAAUCUUAGGCAGUUGUUUACAAAGAUGACAGUGUAAAUUUUAUGUAUUUAAAUUGAUAUAAUACUCAGCAUAAAGGACAACUCCUGUACGAAUUUCGACAUCUUGUGACUGCCCGCUUAUUCUCACAGAUGGCAUUUAUACCCACUUGCGAGGACAAUGUAAAGCCAGUAUGAAAAAAAUGGUAUACUUUGUGGAUAUAAAAUUAAGUAAAGAUGGAGUAAUUGAAGAAUGCCAUUGCGAUUGUGCUGCAGGCAGUGGUACUCAAGCAUGUUGCAAACAUGUCUCUGUAUUGUUGGAUGACAUGUGAACCCGCAAAUCCACAUGGCAUUGAAUGGGAUCGUUACACCUAUGUAGAUAGGACUCCAAUAGAUAUUUUACUAGAGAAGCUAUUAUUAAAAAUAUUAUAUCUGAACAAAUUCAGGAAGUGAGAAGAAUACAAGAGCCCAAAGUGAUUCCUCUGAGUGGCAUGAAAGAUCAUGCAGGAUUACUGCCAGUAUGUUUCAUUUAGUGUGCCACAGUAAAGCAUAUAAGUACCAAAAAUAUAUGUAAUCGAUAUGAUUUUGGCCCCUAAAGCUGUGCAGACUAUGUUAGUUGUGCAUAGUAAAAUCCAAGAAACUAUUUCCAUUGCCAAAUAUGAUAGAGAUUAUGGACUAAAAAUAAAAAAAGUGGAUUCAUUAUAUCAUUUGAAUAUCCUUUUCUGGCUGUUUCUCCAGACGGUAUAUUGGGUAAAGAUACUAUUGUUGAGGUUAAGUGUCCAUAUGCUGCUAGAUAUUAUAAAAUAACCUCUGUGACUGUGCCUUACUUAAAAUACUUAAUGGAGAAUUACAUUUAAAAAGCAGCAUCCAUAUUAUGCCCAAAUCCAAGGCCAACUUUAUUGUUCGGGGGACUUAAUAUUGCAAUUUUAUUGUUUACACAUUUGAGGAUAUGAAAAUAAUAUUCAUUAAUAGAGAUGACUCAUUUAUUAAUGGCAUGUUGACAAAUUUGUUAAACUUUUAUGUACAUAAUUUAGAACCAGAAAUGUAAAUAAGUAUGUGUAUAAGAACUAUUUACAAUUAAUAAAUAAAUUGAAAUAA